UACAGAGGUCUCAAGCGUUUGUUCGGAUUCAUUGGGGCGUAAAGGGUGCGUAGGCGGCGCGGUAAGUCGGGUGUGAAAUCUCGGAGCUUAACUCCGAAACUGCAUUCGAUACUGCCGUGCUUGAGGACUGGAGAGGAGAGUGGAAUUCCUGGUGUAGCGGUGAAAUGCGCAGAUAUCAGGAAGAACACCAAUGGCGAAGGCAGCUCUCUGGGGACGGUACUGACGCUGAGACGCGAAAGCGUGGGGAGCGAACAGG
rnacentral:rRNA from 1 species